AACCGGGGCGGAGAGAGGAAAGCCCCAACUGGGGCUGUGAUGUUCGGGGACUGAAGGAGGCAAGAGAUCGAUCUGUUGGAAGUUUUCCAGUUGGUCGCGUCGGCGCGGUGGGGAAAGGAUUGGAAAGAGCGAGCAAAGCCCCUGGCUUCAGAGACUUACCGGGGCCCUUCGGCGUCUGCCUAAUCAUGCAACGCUUAGGAAGAGGUCGAAACGUUUCCCUUGCAUUAUCUCCGCAAUUCUUGCAACAGCCCUGUAAGAGGUCUCCCUGGAGGUGGAGCCCGCAGAGCAGAAAGCAGCAAGAGGCCCAAGACAUAGUGGCUGGUUGGUUCCGGAUUUGCUCUCACCAUGGUGAACUGUGCUCCAAUUACAUCCAGAAAGGUCUCUCUCAGCACCGGCUACUGAGAUCCCUUAAGUGGAGAGGUCAAGGACUGACCUGGGGACCUUCUGGCACGGCGCAAAGCAGAUGCACUGAGCCGUGGCCCCU